AUGGAUAUGAGAACUUUCUCCUGUGCCCUGCUGCUGGCGACGCUGAUGCCCCUUUCGGCGAAAGCGUCUAGCAAACUCUACAUCGUGUAUUUGGGGGAGAAGGAACACGAUGACCCGUCUAUGAUCACCGCGUCGCACCAUGACAUGCUAACCUCUGUUUUUGGGAGCAAGGAUGAAGCCAAGAAGUCGAUGGUUUACAGUUACAAGCAUGGAUUUUCGGGAUUCGCAGCGACACUCACUGAGACGCAAGCUGAGACACUUGCAGAAUUCCCUGAAGUUGUCCGCGUGAAGCUUAACACUUAUCACAAACCGCACACAACUCAGAGUUGGGACUUUCUCGGCCUUGACUACGAUGGACCACAACAACAGGAAGGCCUUCUGCAAAGAGCAAAGUACGGAGAAAACAUCAUCAUCGGGGUGAUUGAUUCAGGCAUAUGGCCUGAAUCACGAAGCUUUGAUGACACCGGAUAUAGCCCUGUGCCGGCACGAUGGAGAGGCGUGUGCCAGAUUGGGCAUGCGUGGAAUGCCACGAGUUGCAACAGGAAGAUCAUCGGGGCCCGAUGGUACAGUGGUGGCAUCAGCGCUGACGUGCUUAAGAUGGACUACAAUUCCCCUAGGGACCUCACUGGCCAUGGCACGCAUGUAGCCUCAACGAUUGCCGGUAGCCAAGUGUGGAAUGUGAGCCACAGAGGGAGUGGCCUUGGUGUCGGUAUCGCCCGCGGUGGAGCACCACGGUCUAGAUUGGCUAUAUACAAGGUAUGUUGGAUUGACGGGAGUUGCCCUGAGGCAGCGAUCCUUGCGGCCAUCGAUGAUGCCAUAAAGGAUGGCGUGGACGUCUUGUCGCUUUCACUAGGAGGCAGUCCUGGUGAGGAGAUCUUUCAGACAUUGCAUGCUGUAUUGCAAGGGAUCUCCGUUGUGUUUGCGGGCGGGAAUGGAGGCCCCGUGCCACAAAUGGUGCUGAAUGCCGUGCCAUGGGUCAUGACGGUGGCUGCUAGCACAAUAGACAGGUCAUUCCCAACCCAAGUGACGCUCGGGAACAAUGAAAAGUUGGUGGGGCAAUCUCUUCACUACAACGCAUCUGUGAUCAGCAACGACUUUAAGGCCCUCGUUCAUGCGAGGAGUUGUGACAUGGAGACACUAGCAUCAAGCAAUGUCACAGGCAAAAUCGUAUUGUGCUAUGCACCAGAGGAGGCAUUUCUCACCUCGCCUCGGGUGGCACUUCGCAAUGCCAUCAACCGUACCUUGGAGGCCGGUGCUAAGGGCCUCAUUUUCGCACAGUACGCCGUCAAUAAUGUCAACAGUGUGGCCACGUGCCACAACAUUAUGCCUUGUGUUCUCGUGGAUUUUGAGGUAGCACAUAGAAUUGCUUCAUAUUGGGAUAUGACAGGGAGUCCGGUGGUGAAGGUGUCACCUACCAUGAGCGCUGUUGGAAAUGAGGUGUUGUCACCGAGGGUCGCCUCGUUCUCAUCGAGAGGCCCUAGCCUAGCGUUUUCAGCCAUACUCAAGCCUGAUAUAGCUGCACCGGGAGUCAACAUCUUGGCAGCAGUGCGUGGCACCUAUGUGUUGUUGUCCGGGACGUCCAUGGCAUGUCCUCAUGUCUCAGCGGUCACUGCGCUGCUCAAGUCGGUUCACCCUAACUGGUCACCUGCCAUGAUCAAAUCUGCCAUUAUCACCACAGCUUCAGUGACUGAUCGUUUCGGUAUGCCGAUCCAAGCUGAGGGGGUGCCAAGAAAACUAGCUGACCCUUUUGAUUUUGGCGGCGGCCAGAUAGACCCAGACAGGGCCGACGAUCCUGGCUUGGUUUAUGACGUGGAUGCAAAGGAGUAUAACAAAUUCUUCAAUUGCACCCUCGGAUUGUUAGACGGCUGCGAGUCCUACCAACUCAAUCUCAACCUCCCAUCAAUCGCCGUGCCAAACCUAAAGGACAAUGUCACAGUUUCGCGCACCGUCACCAAUGUCGGGCCGGUGGAAGCGACUUAUCGAGUGGUUGUUGAGGCUCCCGCAGGGGUAGCCGUGUUGAUGGAGCCAUCUAUUAUUAGUUUCACCCAAGGUGGUAGUACACGCGCAACAUUCAGGGUGACACUCACGGCGAAGCAGAGAGUGCAGGGCGGGUAUAGUUUUGGGAGCAUCACAUGGUCCGAUGGAAGUGCCCACUCAGUGAGAAUUCCAGUUGCGGUACGGACUGUGAUACAAGACUUCGUCUCAGAUACAUCAUAA
rnacentral:rRNA from 1 species